rnacentral:tmRNA from 1 species
GGGGGCGACCUGGUUUCGACACUGGCAGCGAAGUAGUUCAGGGCAUACCGAGGACUGGUUACCUCGUAAAUACAUCCAGAAACGCAAUAACUGCAAACGAUAACUCGUACGCACUCGCAGCCUAAUCGCUGCUAGCUCUACAACACCUCGCCCCUGGGGUGUGCCGCAAGGCAAGUAGAGUCAUUUACAGGGGCUAGGAAUCAGUUGGGUUACUUGGCUGCUUCCGAAACUUAAGGUAACUCGCUUGCAAGAAGGGUGCACGUCUCCGUCUUGCGGGUUAAAUUAAUUGACAGUGCUAAGUAUGUAGAACUGGCUAUGUAACUCUGGUGGACGCGGGUUCGAUUCCCGCCGCCUCCA